AUACGGAGGAUGCGAGCGUUAUCCGGAUUUAUUGGGUUUAAAGGGUGCGUAGGCUGUGCGUUAAGUCAGGGGUGAAAUGCCGUCGCUCAACGACGGAGCUGCCCUUGAUACUGGCGUGCUGGAGUACGGAUGCCGUUGGAGGAAUGAGUGGUGUAGCGGUGAAAUGCUUAGAUAUCACUCAGAACACCGAUUGCGAAGGCAUCUGACGAAUCCGUCACUGACGCUGAGGCACAAAAGCGUGGGGAUUGAACAGGAUUAGAUACCCUGGUAUUCCACGCCGUAAACGAUGAUGACUAACCGUCGGCGAUAGACAGCCGGUGGCCAAGCGAAAGCGAUAAGUCAUCCACCUGGGGAGUACGUCGGCAACGAUGAAACUCAAAGGAAUUGACGGGG
rnacentral:rRNA from 1 species